rnacentral:misc_RNA from 1 species
GGUUGGAACUGGAAGGACAGAUUUCUGGAAAUCUAGAGAGGAGAGAAAUUAGGAUCUGGAGCAGAAGUCAUGAAAUACUCAUUUGAUGAUUGGAACUAUAAUACGGGAAUUCAGAUUUUUAAUUUCGCAGGAGAACGAGUUCAGCAUUGAAAUAAGGAUAGAAAAGAAUUGAGGAUUGUGAAAAGUGCCAAAGUAUUUCAGCAGUAGAAGAAGAAAUUAAAA